AGGGGGAAAGAUGGCGGCACCACUCAUCCCCCUCUCCCAGCAGAUUCCCACUGAAAAUUCGUUGUAUGAAUCUUAUUACAAGCAGGUCGAUCCAGCAUACACAGGGAGGGUGGGGGCGAGUGAAGCUGUGCUUUUUCUAAAGAAGUCUGGCCUCUCGGACAUUAUCCUUGGGAAGAUAUGGGACUUGGCUGACCCAGAAGGUAAAGGGUUCUUGGACAAACAGGGUUUCUAUGUUGCACUGAGACUGGUGGCCUGUGCACAGAGUGGCCAUGAAGUUACCUUCAGCAAUCUGAUUUUGAGCAUGCCACCACCUAAAUUUCACGACACCAGCAGCCCUCUGAUGGUCACACCGCCCUCUGCAGAGGCCCACUGGGCUGUGAGGGUGGAAGAAAAGGCCAAAUUUGAUGGGAUUUUUGAAAGCCUCUUGCAAAAUGGUUUGCUCUCUGGAGACAAAGUCAAGCCAGUCCUCAUGAACUCAAAGCUGCCUCUUGAUGUCCUGGGCCGGGCUGGGACCUCAGUGACAUUGACAAGGAUGGGCACUUGGACCGAGAUGAGUUCGCUGUGGCCAUGCACUUGGUGUACCGAGCCCUGGAGAAGGAGCCCAUGCCCUCCGCCCUGCCCCUGUCCUUCAUCCCACCCUCCAAGAGAAAGAAGACUGUGUUCCCUGGUGCCGUCCCUGUCCUGCUCGGCAGCCCUCCACCAAAAGACAGCCUCCGCUCCACACCGUCCCACGGCAGUGUCAGCAGCCUCAACAGCACAGGAAGCCUGUCCCUCAAGCACAGCCUCAAGCAAACACAGCCAACAGUGAACUGGGUGGUGCCGGUAGCAGACAAGAUGCGAUUUGAUUAGAUAUUCCUGAAGACCGAUCUGGAUCUGGAUGGCUACGUGAGUGGCCAGGAGGUGAAGGAGAUCUUCAUGCACUCGGGCCUCACCCAGAACCUUCUAGCACACAUAUGGGCCCUGGCCGAUACGAGGCAAACGGGGAAGUUAAGCAAAGACCAAUUCGCGUUAGCUGUGUAUUUCAUUCAGCAGAAGGUCAGUAAAGGCAUCGACCCCCCUCAAGUCCUCUCGCCAGACAUGGUCCCGCCCUCGGAGAGAGGCACGCCCGGCCCGGACAGUUCAGGCUCUCUCGGCUCCGGGGAGUUUACUGGUGUGAAGGAGCUCGAUGACAUCAAUCAAGAGAUUGCCCAGUUACAAAGAGAGAAAUAUUCACUGGAACAAGACAUUCGAGAAAAGGAAGAGGCAAUCAGACAGAAAACCAGCGAGGUGCAGGAAUUACAAAAUGACCUAGACCGGGAAACAAGCAGUUUGCAGGAGCUCGAGGCUCAGAAACAGGAUGCUCAAGACCGCCUGGACGAGAUGGACCAGCAGAAGGCCAAGCUCCCAGACAUGUUGAGCGACGUCCGGCAGAAGUGCCAGGAUGAGACUCAGAUGAUCUCAUCAUUGAAAACGCAAAUCCAGUCUCAGGAGUCGGACUUAAAGUCCCAGGAAGACGAUCUGAACCGAGCCAAGUCGGAGCUGAACCGAUUGCAGCAGGAUGAAACCCAGCUGGAGCAGAGCAUGCAGGCCGGGCGAGUCCAGCUGGAAACCAUUAUCAAGUCCCUGAAAUCAACGCAAGACGAAAUCAACCAGGCAAGGAGCAAACUUUCCCAGCUGCACGAAAGCCGCCAGGAGGCCCACAGGAGCCUGGAGCAGUAUGACCAGGUGCUUGAUGGAGCCCAUGGCGCCAGCCUGACCGACCUGGCCGACCUGAGCGAAGGCGUCUCGCUGGCAGAGAGGGGCGGUUUUGGAGCCAUGGAUGAUCCUUUCAAAAAUAAAGCCUUGUUAUUUAGCAACAACACGCAAGAGCUGCAUCCGGAUCCUUUCCAGACAGAAGACCCCUUCAAAUCUGACCCAUUUAAAGGAGCUGAUCCCUUCAAAGGCGACCCGUUCCAGAAUGACCCCUUUGCAGAACAGCAGACAACUUCAACAGAUCCAUUUGGAGGGGACCCUUUCAAAGAAAGUGACCCAUUCCGUGGCUCUGCCACCGACGACUUCUUCAAGAAACAGACAAAGAAUGACCCAUUUACCUCGGACCCAUUCACGAAAAACCCUUCCUUACCUUUGAAACUCGACCCCUUUGAAUCCAGUGAUCCCUUUUCAUCCUCCAGUGUCUCCUCAAAAGGAUCAGAUCCCUUUGGAACCUUAGAUCCCUUCGGAAGUGGGUCCUUCAAUAGUGCUGAAGGCUUUGCCGACUUCAGCCAGAUGUCCAAGCCCCCACCUUCUGGCCCUUUCACCUCCUCCUUGGGAGGGGCAGGAUUCUCAGAUGACCCCUUUAAAAGUAAACAGGACACUCCUGCUCUGCCUCCGAAGAAACCGCUCCUCCAGGGCCUAAACCGCCCAGCGGUAAAAGUACACCUGUAAGCCAGCUUGGUUCUGCAGACUUUCCCGAGGCCCCCGAUCCAUUCCAGCCACUCGGGGCUGACAGCGGCGACCCGUUCCAAAGUAAAAAGGGGUUUGGGGACCCGUUUAGUGGGAAAGACCCAUUUGUCCCCUCCUCUGCAGCUAAACCUUCUAAGGCCUCUGCCUCGGGCUUUGCAGACUUCACCUCUGUAAGUUGA